GGGGGUCCUGCUUCUCCCUCUCCCUUGGCCCCUCUUGCCUGCUUGUGCUCUCUCUCUCUCAAAUAAAUUAAAUAAAUAAAUAAAUAAAUAAUUAUUUUAAAAAAAAUAAUUAAAUAUUGGGGUGCCUGGGUGGCUCAGUUGGUUAAGUGUCUGACUCUUGAUUUAGGCUCAGGUCAUGAUCUCAAAGUUGUGGGAUAGAGUCCUAUGGGCUCCGUGCUGGGCCUGGAGCCUGCUUAAGAUUCUCUCUCUGUCUCUCCCCCUCCCCCUUUGCCCCUCCCCCGGCUCACAUGCUCGUGCUUGUGCACACCCUUUCGCACUCUCUCUAAAAUAAAUCUUUUAUUUAUUUUUUAUUUUUUUAUUUUUUUAAAGAUUUUAUUUAUUUAUUUGAGAGAGAGAGCAGGAGCAGAGGGAGAGGGAGAAGCAGGCUUGCCGCGGAGCAGAGAGCCUGAUGUGGGACUCGAUCCCAGGACCCUGGAAUCAUGACCUGAGCCGAAGGCAGGCGCUUAACGACUGAGCCACCCAGGUGCCCCUAAAAUAAAUCUUUUAAAAAAAGAAUUAAAUAUUGGUAUUCUACAUUACUAUAAGAAUGUGUAAUUUUAUAGUAAUGUCAGAAUUAACCUACUUUCAAAAUUUAUGAUUUACUAAAUAUAUCUAGAAAAGAGAACAUGAGAUGUUACUAAAGACUAAAAAAAAAAGAGCAAAAAUCAUUGCUAAAAAGAUGAAUAAAUUUUCUAAGCCUUGUUAAAAUCAAUAAAAGCUUUUUAGUUUUACUCUUUAUUUGCUGCUAUGGAAACAGCAUGUUUUUAAAUGUCUGUGAGUUUGAAACCACUGAAGUAGAAAUGAGUUGAUGGUCAUUGUCUGGUAACAACUAGAUCAAGCGUAAGAUGCACUCACCUGUCCCAAUUUUCAUAUUUCUCCAAAAAAAGUAUGAUAUUCUUAAAGAAAGCAUAGCUUUAAACUGAAAUAAUAUAUAUUCAAAAAGAAUUUAAUUUAUUUUGAUAGUAGUUUCCCCCUCUUAACCACUCAAAAUAUUUUAUUUAAAAUGCUUUCAUGGUAUACUAUAGUAGAAUAUUUAGCAAAGAACUCCUUUUCAGCUUUCUAAAAAUUGCUCAGUUAAAAAUGCCAUCUUGUUACUACUCUGAGUAGGCACACAAUUUAUGUAAUCAUUUGCCAUUUUUAACAUUCUAAUAAAAUGAGCAAUUUUAGCAUAUCUUCUCUUUGCUACACAUACCAUGUACAUGGACAUUAUGGAUUUCUUCUGUCUUCUCAAAAUCUGAGGAAUAAUAGAUAAAAGAUCUAGUUAUAUUGUAACCUUGGGACCUCUACAGGCCCCAGUUGUUCUGAAAAUGUUGUAUUAUUCUUCAUAAUGACUGUAUAUUUAGAGCUGGUUUUCGUUUUUAUUUCUUGUUUUGCUUUAUGCUUAGCUUCCAUGAAAUAGACAAAAAAGUGUCCAGGAAUAUAAACAGACACCUGGGGGAGGGUUGAGUAUACCACAUUGUAAUGAAAUUCUCCAUUUAUCUCAAGUCUCCCAGGUACUGGGAAUCCUUUUCUCUGGGAACAAGAAAAAGAGAGCUACUCCAGCUAGCUCAAAGAAAGGGCAGUGUGGCUCGAUUUCUUAUAAUGAUCAGGAUUUCACAGAAAUGAAAUACAACCAGGCCCUGUGGGACCUAAAGUGAGAAUUUGGAAGUUGCCAGAGAUUAAAGGUCCCUUGAUACCCCUUGCAGACCUUCAGGGAAGCUGCCUGUGAAGCUGCUCAUCUUGGCUUGACUUGUGCAAAACUCCCAUUAAUAAUAGGAAGCUUAAGUUUUCUCACUCACCUUAGACAGUGUCUUGUCCUCCCCAAGUUCCCAUGGGGCCAGUCUACCUACCUUCAAACUCUGAGCCCACUGGUUUGACAGAUGCAACUUUCUUAAUGCUACAGAUCAUUUUUCCUUGUGUGCUCUUAGCCCCAAUUAACAUUUCAGUGUUAAAACCUUUUUAGCAACCCCCCUCUCUGCCCAUAAAAUGAUUCAAAGAAGUAAAAAAAAAAAAAAAAAAAACAAAACCAAAAAACAAAACUUAAAGCCUCAAAUACAAACCAUUUCCUACUUUACAAUCUUUUCAAACAGUAAUAUAUGCUCAUGAGUAAUAUUCCCACAGCAUUCCUGAGCUGAAUUUAGGUUAUUGUGAAGUGUUUUGGGUGGGUUAUGGACCAUUGGUGAUUGAGAAUAUUCCUCCGAACAAACCCCUACCACCAUGAGAUUCCUUACAAAGAUUCUAGAAACUCUAAAGGGCCUGGAGCAAAAAAGGAAAGUAUUUUUAAAAUAGCUAUAUCAUAUGGCUCUGUCUACAGAUGAGGCAGAAGAGUGUCCACAUUUUUCUGUGCUGGAAUUUUUCCUCUAAUUAUUUCUUGGGAGAUUCAUGAAAGAAAUCAGACUUCCUUCUGAGUUUAAAAAAACAAACAAACAAAAAGAUAUUGUAUGUUGCAUGGAAUGGGAGUUUGCCUAUUCUUUUCUGGCCUUUCUUCUAUCUCUUGUUGUUUUUAAAAUUAAAAAAGGGCGGGGGGGGUGGCGCCUGGGUGGCUCAGUUGGUUAAGCGUCUGCCUUCGGCUCAGGUCAUGAUCCCAGAGUCCUGGGUUCGAGCCCUGCAUCCGGCUCCCUGCUCGGCGGGAAGCCUGCUUCUCCCUCUCCCACUCGCCCUGCUUGUGUUCCCGCUCUUGCUGUCUCUCUGUCAAAUAAAUAAAUAAAAAAUCUUUAAAAAAAUAAAUAAAAUUAAAAAAAAAAAAGAAGGAAAGAACAUUAAAAUCCAGAACAGCUUAAAAAAAGUUGGAGCUCCAACGUAGGGUAGGUACUUUCUUCCAUCUUCCUUCCUCUGCUUAGGUGAUCUGAUUCGCACCAACACUGUGCUCCUCUCUCCCUUCCAGAAGUAAGAAGAGAUCCCGGGCGAUGGUCAUGGCGUAGCCAGAAAGCCCUAGUGAGGCCUUUUGGAACUCUGAAGAAGUCAUCUCAAGCAGAAACUUUGGUCUCCAAGAUUUUUAUUAGAAACAAAUGAAAGGAAACAUAAACAGACCAAUAAGCAAAUGACCUGUAGCCUUCCACAGACCUAGAUGCUGCGAAUUCUCCCAGUCCUUUGGAGCCCCGAGCUCAGUGCCAGGCUGGAUGAGAUCACUGGAGCUCCAGACCACAUGCGCUGCCUGUGGGCGCUUCACAUAGGCAUUUAUUUUAAUGUUGGAAAUAUGCAGAAAAUCUCCCCCUUUUUGGUGGCUUGUUGGGUUGUCUGCUUUAGCAGAUUUGUCCCCAAACCAGCCUAAAUAAAAUGUGCAAGAUAAAA